GUGAAGAACGCAGCGAAAUGCGAUAAGUAAUGUGAAUUGCAGAAUUCAGUGAAUCAUCGAAUCUUUGAACGCACAUUGCGCCCGCCAGUAUUCUGGCGGGCAUGCCUGUUCGAGCGUCAUUUCAACCAUCAAGCCCCAGGCUUGUGUUGGGGACCUGCGGCUGCCGCAGGCCCUGAAAACCAGUGGCGGGCUCGCUGUCACACCGGGCGUAGUAGAUUUUAUCUCGCUCAGGGCGUGCUGCGGGUUCCGGCCGUUAAAAAGCCUUUUUUACCCAAGGUUGACCUCGGAUCAGGUAGGAAGACCCGCUGAACUUAAGCAUAUCAAUAAGCGGAGGA
rnacentral:misc_RNA from 1 species